UGUAUAAAUUGUUGGCUAGAGUAGGGUUUCUCAAACUUCUCAGUGCUGCUAAGAUAUUCAUCACCUAGGGAUCUUGUUAAAAAGCAGAUUCUGAUUGAGGGACAAGAUUCUGCAUUUUUAGCAAGCUCUCAAGUGAUGCUCAUGCUGCCGAUCUGUGGACAACACACAUAGCUGCUGGGGGCUGGAGAUGAUGCUGUGUGUUACUUGUGGCGUGUGUGUCCAUCUCCCCCAUCAUGAGUGCACAUCCUAGAGCCAAUAUGCUACAUUUGGCGAUCAACCUGUAGUCAAUUGUGAAAGGCCACCUUCUGCACAAAUGUAUGUGAUUAUUCUUUCAAGUCAAAUCAUGCCUCCAUGGGCUUCUCAGAUGUAAGAGCUCCUUCAGGGAGCGGCUGCCCAUGUCAGCCUCCUGAAAGAAUUGUCAGCACCAGGUCCGCAGACUAGAGUGUUAUUGAUGACUGAGACCAUCUGACUCUGUAACCCUCCAUUUCCAGUUAAUCCUAAGGAGCAGUUCCUGGAGUCACAGCUGCUGGGGCCAGAGGAAUCUUACCUGCAGACAGCAGCAACACUACACGUUAUCAAAAGAGGUAUUAUCCAAGAUGGCAUUGCCCCUCUAUGAUAUUCCUCCAACUUCUGGCUUCCUGUCGUCCACCUUGUCUCUCAGGGAGAACCAGAGGAGGUGUCCUUAUUUUCUAAACUGACUUACCUUAUGGAACCUCCUGACCCUGGCUCUAGUUGGUACGGGUUUUACUAUCAGGCCGGCCAGAUGUGGCCCUGGAACCAAUGUGUAACAGUGAGUGGCUGGUGUCAUCUCAUAUGCUUUCUUUCAGGCUGUGGGUAUGCACCUCUCUGACGAGGGAUUCAAUUCAUCAUGGGAAGAAUCCCCUGAAAGCAAAGAUGGCAGUGGGCAAGAGGCUCUGGUUUUCCUAUCACAACUACCUGGAGAUGUUUGAGGUCAUCAAUGUUAUGUUUAUUUAUUCGCCACAGCUAAAAUACACAGUUUAAAAACUUCUUUGGAAUAUCAAUCUCCAAAUAUCAAACCUUUUUGAAGGUCCUCCCCCGUGAGAGAUGUGAGAUUGGGCACCUUGUGUGAGCCUCCAGUGGGCCCUGCAUCUCCUUCAGGACAUCGCUUGGAUAUUUUGCUGAUGAGGAAGAGCCCUGGGAAACCUGGUCCUGCUUACAGGGAACUCCAUGUGUUUUUCUGAUGACCUUCGUUCAAUCUGCUCCACCAGGUUUCAGUGCCAGGAUGCACUCAGUGGGUGAGUUGACCCCAGGACUGCAGCCCUCCCCAGUCCAGAGCAUGUGGGCAAAAUCCUGUCACAGUGGGUAGGCAGUGGGGAGACAAGUAGUCACAACCUCUGUAAAUACUCCCCUGGGAACAGUCUGGUUUUCAGGGUCACGUCCGACUUAAGAACACCCCAGGAAUUCAGACUUGAUUUCUCCCCAGGUAUGGGAAAGGCAACCCAACUUGGCCCUGUUCUUUUUCUUUUUUUUUCUCACUGAGGUCACUGUCCUUGGUGUCCACUUCCUGCUCUGGUAGACACCAGUGAGGUGGAGUCAGUGCCAAGAUGGAGCUUCCUGCACUGCUGCUUGGCUCUGGAAGAGACUGGAUUUCUUUCUUUCCUUGCUGGUGGAGAUCGCACCCAGCCGGUGAGUAGAUCCUAGCUUCCAGGGUGUCUUUUGAUUCUGGGAAAGGAAGGCUGGCCCCAUAACCCUGUUAUAAGGCAAGACACUGUUCUCUGGGUCUCUCACCUUCAGAGAUGAUACCUAUGCCUGAUGGGAAGCCCAGAUCCCGCCUUCUGGAUGAUAGUCCCUUUGCGAUGACCAGUCCUGUUGAAUCCUUGAAUGGAAUUGGUUCAAGAUGGAUGCCAGCUUCAUACAAGGGCACCAUCAGACUUGGCCCAAGGUACGUGAGAGUAGGGUGGGCCCAGGUAAACCCAGGUGCUAGGGAUGUCUUUGACCCGUGGCCCAUACACCUCAUCUUCAGGACACCUCUGAACUCAGGUGGUUUCGUCUCCCUUCCUACCAAGUGACUUCUUGGGUUGCUCCCAGCCCUAAAGAAGUAGUGGGGUCCAGGCACAUGAAGACAGUUUUCCACCCAGUUCGCUGUCUUUAUUUUUUUUCUCCCAUUUAUUGUUUGAGUUGUAUUUUUUAUAGACAGAGUCUAGCCUGGAAUUCACUGUAAAACCAAAGCCAAUCCUCCUGCCUCAGGCUCCCAAAUGCUGUGACUUCAGGGUUGGGCUAUGGCAUGCUAAGAGUUUACUUGUUUUAAUGUACUUUAUUUUUUUAUUUUUGUUUUUGUGUGUGCCUGAGUAUAUGUACGUGCAUUCAGGACCCUGCGGCGGUCAGAAGAGGGCAUUGGAUUCUCUUGUACUGGACUUAUAGAGGGCUAUGAGUCAGCCAUAUGGUUCUAGGAGCGGAACCCAGUUCUUCUGAAAGAACGUUAAGUCCUAAGCCAUCUCUCCAGCCCUCCAGGAAUACUCCCUGGACCUUAGGAUUAGAGCACUAAGAUGAAGUCCUUUCCCACAUGGACUGCGCAUUUUGGUGGGACACCAUGGAUCAUGGAACAUAGUUUUGUUUUUUCACCAAUGACAGAGAACUGAUAAAAAUAUCACCAGGAUGAGAAGUCGUCCUGAUGUGGUGAAAUGGAGACUGCGGGUGCCCUCCAGGUGGGGACUGGAUGAGCCAACAUCAGGAGUGACAGAGGACUGAUGACCUGAAGCAAGUGACCUCCCCUUCUCAUCUUGAAACCUUCUCAGUGUGGAUUCUGGAACCAAGAAAGUUUCAACUUCAGAGAAAGGGGACAGUGUCAGCAUCAUUGCAAGGAAGGUAAGUGAACAUCACUGCCCCACUCCAGCAUGUUUCAAGAACACUUGUCCCCCACCUCACUAACACUCAGCAUCCAAUCUGCCUGCAGGUUGGUGGUUGGAAACCAUAACCCUUGGAGAAAUGGAAGGGGCCCUUUGUCUGUCUUGUCUCUGCUUUUCUGUGGUACUUGAAGAGAAGUUGUUCGUGGUGGAUUCGCUUUACUUGUGACGAAUCAUUCACGGACAACACUUUUUUCAGUACCAAAUGCUACCUCUAAGGAUUUCCUGGACAUGAUGGCAGCUUGCAGAAAGAUGGCGUUUCCGUCAAGCUUGUAGAGAAGCCAAGUAUGGAUGGUUGGCCACGGACAGUAUGCUUGAGCUAGCUGUAAGUCACCUGGUCGGUUACCUGAGCAUCUGACCCAUCUGUAGGCCAUGCCAGCCUUGGGGAGGCAGCUGUGGUUUUGCUACCAGCGUCACCUUACAAGACUUUGAAAAGAGGCCAUCUUCCAGAAGAGAUGUUGGUGCCAGCACCAUUCAGGGUGUGUGACUGGUUGACCAGAGGGGCAUGCACUCUGUUUACCCUGUGGGCCACCUAGUCACCAACCCUCAGCAUCAAUUCCUUUCUAAGAAGACUCUCCAGAGCCCCUGUCAAGUUUGGGGAAGUGUCAAUGGACUUGAUGGCUGUGCCUGCUCGGUGGACCAGGAUGAACUGUGGUCUUAGGGGUGUAUGUUUACAUAAGAUGCCAUGAGGCAUCCGUGGUAGCUGCUGCAUCACUAUCACAGCCUACUUGAAGUGUUGACUUCAGAUGUGGACAUGAUGUUGACUUCCCAUGAGGGACCUGAAGUCCCUUCUCUUCUGGAAGAGUCUGUGAGAUGCCAACUUUGAGAAGCAGUCAUAAUAGUCCUGCCAUCACCACACCACCAUGGGAGCUUGGAGAAUGGCGCCCCCUCUGAUCCAGGAGGACUAACCGGAUCCAAAGUAAUCAGCAUCCUCUUCAGGACAGUGGAUGCAGUCACCUUUUUGAGAGAGUCAAUACGUUCUUCGCCGGUGUCCGUGUGUGGUACUUGAAGAGAGGCUGACUGUAAUGAAUUCAAUCCAUCUAAGCAAGUCAUACACGGCUCUCCUCUCUUUUAGUGUCAAACUCUGCCUCAGAGGCUUCUUGAGCCAGUGCUGUUUCUAAGGCUUCUCCCAAGCUGUGAAGAUGAUGCAGUGAUACUGUGGUCCUCAGAGGGAGGUUGUCCCUCCUGGUCCUCAGAGGGAGGUUGUCCCUCCUGGUCCUCAGAGGGAGGUUGUCCAGCAAUAGCUGCCAUCUCCUGAAAGAGUCCAGCACCACUAAGAAGGGUGAUAUGAAAGCAUUAAGUAGUGGGGACUCCGCUUCUCUGCCGCCCCUGACAGCUGCAGACAUGGCCAUGCUUCUACUCCGGCCACAUGCUUCUCUAGGGUUAUGCAUUUUAAUUUUUCUGUUGGAAAAAAUCUGAACGUAAGUCUCACAAGUGUUUAAGAGCUCCGUUACUGACAGGUUAGUUAGGUAUGGAAUUCUCAGCCCACUUUAGAAGUUUCCUCUGAGAUUGCGCAGUCUUCUCCACUAUCUUCUAUAUUAUUUUACUGCCUCUGUUGAUGUGGCUUAAAAAAAACUUCUAUUUGUCUAGAUAUCAUGUAGUCGGUCCUCCUUUUCUUUGUAGUUCCAGAGAUUGAACCCACGGCCCUCUGCAUGCUAGACAAGCGUUUCCACCUGGCUACAGUAGAGUCCAUUGCACUCUCAGUUCUGAGUAUACUUUUGGGGAGAGAUUUGGGACUUACUGUAUUCUGUGAAGUCUUUUAUCUCUAGGAAUGUCCUCCUCAUGUCUGUAUAGUGUUUCCCAUUUCUCCAAAACUUCAUAUUCUAUUUGGUCUUGUGCCUGUGAGUUCCUUUCACCCUCUUUAGAAACCUGACAGGCAUUUGGACACAGUUUCUUUCAGCUGUGUGUUUCGUACUGUUCUUUCGUUUGUUUUCAUUUUAAUCUCAAACUCUCUAUGAGUUUGCUAACUUUUCAUUGUCUGUCUAUAAUCAGCCCAGAACUGGAGAGUUUGGUUUUAUUCUUUUCUUUUUUGGUGUAGUGGUCAUAAUACAGGGAGGGCAGAUGGCUCAGUUGAGAAAUUUCUUACCAAACGAACAUGGGGAUCAGAAUUUGACUCCAGUACUGAUUUAAAACAACAACACAACCAGGGUAUGGCGAUGUGCACCUGUUGCCCCAGCGCUGGUGGGGGCAGAGACAGAGUAUGUGUUCUGGGGUGCUUAAGGCCAGCCAGUGUGACAGACUCCUGGAGCGAAUUCCAGGUUCACUGAGAGACCCUAUCUCAAGAUUGAAAGUAAAUAAAUAAAGCAGAGAGCAAUCGAGGCAGCUAAUGGGCAUGGAUAUCUGGCUUCUACACACAUGUACAUAUCUCCCAUGCAUGCAGUACUGCCCCGCCUCCUACACACAGCUAGAACAGCCGUAGGUCCUGCCUGGUCCUUCAAGGGUUUCAUUUACCCACACUAUGUUCUCUGCUCCAUUUUUUGGCUCAAGGGUUGUCAUACUCCAUGACUGGUAUACAUUCUCCCAUCUUUGUCUUGGAACUUUGACAUCCCACAGAAGAAAUCACUGUACCUGUUGAUGGACAGGGUGGAGCUCUCUCAUUUCCCCGGAAGAGUUCUGGUCCAGGUGCACUUUGCUUGGGCCUAUGCACACAUUUCUUGCCUCUCCCUCUCCCUUCCUUCUUGCCCAGCUCCCUCCCUUUACUCCGUCCCUCUUCCCUUCCACCUUUUGCCUUUGAGGGCAGGCGAAAGCUUGUUGUUUUCAAGUUCUCUUCGGUAACACCCAAGGGACUUCCUUUCUUUAGCUGUACAUUGCAUACCCUUUCACUUGUAGCUUGUACUGUAUACACUUACACUGUAGCCAUGCAUUACACACAUUUUCACCUGUAGCUUGCAUUAUACACACUUAUACUGUAGCCCUGCAUUACAUACAUUUCACUUGUAGCUGUGCAUUACACACUUACACUGUAGCCAGCAUUACAUACAUUUCACUUGUACCCGUGCAUUAUACACACUUACACUGUAGCCAUGCAUUACACACAUUUUCACUUGUAGCUUGCUUAAUACACAUUUACACUGUAUUAUGCAUUACAUACAUUUCACUUGUAGCUGUGCAUUAUAUACCAACCAACUUAAGCUGUGGCGGAAUGUCUACUUAAUGUUUUUACAGAUUUUUGGAGGUUUCCCCCAAGCGGUCUUGUUUCCGGGUUAGCCCGUUGCCAUUGUUUUUCCUCUAUCAGUUUUAUCUCAAUUGUAAUUUUUAAUCCCUUCUUUAUUAGAGUUAGUUGUAUCAUUUAAAAGGUACUGCUUUCUUCUGUUGUUGCUGUGAGUUUUUUCCUUGGCUUAAAGGAUCCAUGCUGCCCGUCCCAUUGUUUAGUCAGUCCUAUUAUUUAGAUGCUACCUGCUGCCAUCAUAUUGCCAUCCUCCCUGUUACCAUCUGCAUCACAAAUUUGUAUAGUUAGAUGGAUCAGAACCCUUACUCAGUGUCACCUUCUAUCUUGGCAGGAUGCCUAAUUGCAAUGCCAGCUUCUGGGAUAGACACCGACGUAGGACCCACCAUCAUUGGGCAGGUACGCGAGCUUCUUGUCAAUUUGUUUGUUUGUCUCACAACCUGGGGGGGGCAUUCACUCAAAGUUACAUCUAUCUUUAGGAAGACACCCUCAAAGUUUGCUCAACAUAGGGGAUGAGGCCAUGACACUCGGGUCAGAGUUGCACCGCGGUAUAACGUAGCUGGCCUUCAGUGAUGACACUGUUUUGAAUAGCGGUGUUGUAGAGCUGGCCUCUCUGGGAGCUCUGCAGGGAAUUCCUAGGCACAAGGCCUGUGUAAAGGAAGUGAGCAUCACUCCCGUGUGCCUCAGUGCCAGUGUGAAGCUAGGGACCCUCCACUCCUGUGAUGGGCACGAUGACAUCUGUGCACCCAGGACCUCCAUCAGCAGGGCCCCCUUAGACACUGCAUCCACAGCAUUGGUGCCACGGCUAGAUGGCUGUGGGCUCCGGGAGGAAAGGGUUGGAUGUGGGGUGUGUGAUAUUAUAUCCUCAAGCCCUCGUGCAGUCAACGCACUAACCUGCUGUGUUCACUGUGCUCGGGGGGACUUCCUGGAGGAAGCCAGCUUCAGAGAAGAGAUGCUGGUAUUCACCUGCGGUGCUUGAAGAUAGGUUAUCCGUGUUGCCUUCGCUUUAUUCGUGACGAAUCAUACACGGUUGACCUAUUUUUCAGUACCAAAUCCCGCCUUGGAGGAAUUUCUGGGGUUGAACCUCACUUCAGGGUGGGACUUUGGUGUUAGCUCUUCUCCAGGGUAAGUGAAGGGGCCAUUCACCACAGGCAGAUACAGGAGCACACAUGCUGUCCUCACCCAGUGUGUCCCUUGUUCCCUGGUGGACUCGUGGAGGUGGUACCUGCUUGGAAUGAGGGGAAGUGUUCUAUAGUCAUUCAGUGUUUUCCCUUUGCAGAUCACGUGUAGUUAGCCUUCUGUGGUAUAACAUGUGACUCUCAAGCACCCUAGGGAAGGUGAAGUUCAGAGCUAGGGAUUCUGUUCACACAUCUACACGGGCGUUCCCAUCAGCCCUCUUGGCAUGCCGUCACCUCUGGGCUCACUGGAAGAAGUGGCAUUUCUGUCCCUCUGGAUGUUGUUGUGAUAAGAGGCCUUCUCCCUGCUCUCUAGGACACACCCUGUGUGGCCUUGGCAAACCCCUAUGCAAUAGAGCAAUGGCUUCUGGAUAGGGAUACUAACCACAUGCAGGAGACGAGAAAUAGCUCCAGGCCAUAGGGCAUGUGUCCUAUGACUAGAAUGUGUAGCCAUCUGCCUAACCCUUCGGCCUUAGGGAUUCCCUCUUCAGGCCUGCUGCCUGGGACAUGCCAACACAAGCUCCCGAAAUCAAGUGUUCGAACGGAGGUUGUCCAUGGUGUGUUCAUUUUAUUUAUGAUGAGUAUUACAUGGCCAAUCUCCUUUCGGCACUAAAAUCUUCCUGGGAGAGCUUCUCUUUGGGGGGGGAGGGUAGUUCUGUCAGUGUCUGGGCAGGGGAAGGAAGUGGAGUGUCCCCUGUACUGAGAACUUUUUUUUGCCCCUGGGAUUUAUGUCACCUGGUUGUCAAAGUAGGAGUGCCUAAAAAUGACACCAACUAUUUUAGGUGACUCUGGUUUUCUGGCCAUUGUUAUAUAAAGAAGAGCACAUUGGGUAGAACACUGUACUUAGGUGAGAAAGUCUGGGGUGGGUGGAGAUAGCUGAAUGCAAGGCAUCCACCCAUCCAUCCAUCCAUCCAUCCAUUCAUCCAUUCAUCCAUCCACCCAUCCAUUCAUUCAUUCAUCACUAUUUCUUCAUGUUCUAGUUCCCGGGGUGAUCUCUAGGAAGUAGAACCAGCUAUCAGACUGGAGUGUGGGAGGGCAUCUCAUGGUGACAUUUAGUGGUGUUGGAAUUCUGAUGUCCUUCCUCUGACUCCAGUGUCCUUGUGAAGGAGAGGAAUCGGCAGCAUCCAUUACUACCUGUUGCUUGCUAAUGGUGUGACCUUGAAUGAGUCAGCCUGUCAUCUGUCUGUGCCUCAAUUUGUCUGUGUGAGAGCGUUAAUGGCUGCUUAUAAGGUAUGUAAACACACUGAAUGUGUGCUCAGUACUUUGCCUGGCCUUCCUAGGGAAAGUUGGAAAACCACUGGAUCUUUAUAAUGAUGCUCGCUCGCUGCAUAAAUGUAGUUACCAUGUGACUCUCUUCCCAACCUCUGCAGCGCAGGGUCACUGAGUUCAGAAGCCUCGUCUCUAGUGCCCUUAGGUGUGCUCGGUACGGAUGAUGUUGAAUGAGUGGCAGUUUGAUGUCUUUUCUUUGUCUAACCCCCUUUGUGGUCGCUCAGAAGCUGGAGAGAAUGGAGGAUGGUCCCAGAGCCUUGUACUCCCUGAUGCUGUUGGUUUGUCUGUGGGGUCUUGCUGUCCUCUCAGGAUGCUGCCUUGGAGAGGGAGUCACCCACUUUUAGGUCAGCCUCCAUUGGUGGGUCGCAUGGACCCUACCACACAGAGAAGUCAUGGUUCCUUCUCUGGGAGACACAUUUUGGGAUUCAGAUUUGGUAUCCAUGCACUUCUGGGUGAGUGACCAAUUGCUGGCCAAAGCCUGAACCCAUGAUGCAUUUAUAUAAGGCUCUUUCCACCUGUAGGCAGGACAGAGCUCUGCAAGCCAGUCUGUGAGAGGCUGUUUUGCAGUUGGACCUGGGGGCUCACUGGAGGUAACACCAGCCUCCGGAGCGGGUGGGAGUCAGGGAGCCAGAGCCGAGGGAGGCAGUGCUGCCUGGGGAAGAGGCGCCCUGCGCUGCUCUCGGCCUGUGCUGACGCUUGAUUCUGGAGCAGAGGUUGCCCUUGGUGAAUUCGCUUUAUUGAUGUUGAAUCACACAAAGGCAACUUUUGUUUGAGUAUCAAAGCCUUCUUGGGGUGGUUUUGGGGAUGAGGUGCAAUGCUCUGGGUCUCCGUGUGUGGCAUGUGUUAGAAUGGAUGAUGGAGAUGUGGUGUGGACAGGCAAGGUGUGGAUCAGAGAACAUGGUGUGACCAGAUGUGGGGUCUCUGGGACCCAUGAAGACAUGCAGUGUCUGCUCGGCAGCGAUUUGUCACACUGGCACUUAGCCCUGAGGUCGCAGACAUGGCGACUACUCUACUCUGAAGACACCUUGACCAAAAGGGCUUUCACUUGACUGUGUCAGGGACAAUGGCAGCCUUACCUUCUCUCUGUUCUUCUUCCCAACUCUCUAGGUCAGGAGCUCUUACAUUCCAUCCAUUUCCUCCCCAACACCUCAUCCUACUCUGUGUGCUUCUCCCUCUCCCCUAUUUCUUGCCAAACCUUGUUCUCCAUUUUUGGAUGGGUUAGGAAGUGAAUAGAGACAACCAGCAUUUCAUCCCUUUUACAUUAAAUAAUAGUGAUAAAAUAAUCACAAAACAACCCCACAAGCUACCAGAACGGCUCAGUGGAAAAUGUGUUCAAUUGACUACAAAUUGGCAGAAGAAUCCAAUUUUCUUGAUAACAUUUCAGCUACGACAUUUGACCUGGGGAAACAGUACCCUGUAGACACAGCAGCCAUAAGAGGCAGGCUGCGAUAGUGGCGGCGGCUGUGAGCAGUAAUAUUUGUGAGGCGAGCGCACAUCGAGGAAUUAGAUCUUCCUGCAGAUUUUUAAAUGGGAAAGAAUUGAUCCUAAUGAAAAUGAUUUGAGAAAAUAACAAGGGAAAUAAAAGAAAUGAGAAUGGCUCAAAAGCACAGUCAAGGAAGCUAAACAGAGAAUUGGAUUAGUUUAAUGGAAUUUACCCCCCCCAAAAAAAACAAAAGCAUUUUUAAUGAAAAUCAAUGCGGGUGCAGUUUUUUGGUCAGAUGGGUAAAUCCAUGUGCUUAGACUGGAGCCAGCGGGGCCAGUAGGAAGAUCUGGUCCCAAUGCAGGUCCCUUGUGUGGCUAAACUUUAUUUUCUGUCCCCAAGCUUGACAGAGUGCUUCCUCGACCAAUGUGCUGACUCCAGUGGUAACAAGCUGGCGAGGGUCCUCUGGAGGGUGUGAAUGGGGACCAGUGCCGGAGCGUGUACCCUACGAGCAGUCCUCUUCAGUUUCCUUUCGCCUCAAAGGACAUUCCAGAAGGAUCUUUACGUCGAAGGACCACAGAGGCUACACCAUUGUCUUGGAGCUAGUCGGUGGCUGGAGCCCUCUCCAGGACAGGUGCUUGGAGGAAGAACCUGGACAGUUCUAAGCAUGCUUGCUGACUGGACCUUGGAUCUCCACGAGCUAUCAUUAUUGCCACUGUGUGGUUCUUAGGAACAUUUCCAAGAGAUGAUGCCAGCUCAGAGAAGAGCCUCUGCUCCACAGGUCAGUUUCUAGAACACCUAGAUGAAGCUGCCCGUGAUGUCUUAUGAUGGACUGCAUGCGGCUGGCCAAUUGCUAUGCUUCUAGGAAUUUCCAAGGGCUGGAAGUCCACCCCCAUGCCACCCAAGCCUAGAAUUCCACAGAUCAGGGCACCUACGACCAAGUGCCGUAAAGGGAAUGCUCAUUCCCCAUGGCCUCCACUGCAUUCCACUCCCAGGAUGCCCACCUUCUAAAGGUUCCCUGUGGUCACUCAUCGGGUCCUGGCCCUCAUGGGCUAGCCCUCUCCUGUGGCAUGCUUGCAUGGGUCCUUCAGAUGAGCUGUUCUAUAGUGUGUGAAGAGAUACCAUUCAGUGUGUGCUAGAACUGUUCCUCCUCUCCUCCCUCCGUGUUUGUCACUGACAUUUUAAUUGCUUUGUUAUGCUCUGAAUGCUCCAGCAGCUCUUACUGAAACUUCUUAAACCACCUGUGAGGGAUGCCAGGGUGGGGGUGCUUGUUUGUGUGUGGGGGGAUGGGCACAGGGUAGUUGGGCCCAAAGAGGAGCUUCUCUGGGUGUGGAUAUCAUUGCCUCCUUGCUCCUUCUGGAAGACAUCCUCACUGAGAGGGUGGAAGCUGUGCAAGCAGGGCCUCAGGACUUCCCCAUCUCCAGGGCUGGCAAGGGAGAGUUGGGAGUGAGCAGAGUUCUGUGUUCACUUCAUGCACUGUGCUCGCUUCCCCUGCUCAGUGUCAGCCUCUGUCUGCUUGGGCCCGAAGUCGACUUCGUGGAGCUGUGGGGGGGCACUCCAGGUAUUCAUUCUGAGGAGAUGAGAGGAUGGUAGGCACACUGGGGAGGGAUGGGAUAGUCGCUCUCAGGUAGUGGAGCAGUUCUGGCUGAAUGGGGAGGUACCAACUCUGAGGGGCUCCGAGGAUGAGUCUCCUGGGAACACAGCCACCUUGAAGCAUCGGCCUUGGUCUGAGCGUCCAGCCUCUCCUUGGUACUCGGAGAGAGGUUACCCGAGCAACUUUGCAUCUGGAGGACGAAUGUUGCUCGGUGAACCCCUUUUCGGUAUCAAAUCCCUCCAGGGAGGCCGAAUGGAGGCCCCGGCACCUCGGGGAAGAACAUGGAAUCGUCUUGCUCUGGGGUAUGGGACGGAUGGUCGACCAGCUGGAAAGUAAUUGUUUCUAAUGUACUUCACCUGGUCCACUAGCCGUCGGUGCCCGCUGCAGCCGCGUCCAGGAUGCCACUACCUCAGCACCUCUGCUGGUACUUGAAGGGAGAUCGACCGUGUUAUAUUCGCUUGGCUGACUUCGAAUAAUACAUGGUUGAUCUUUUCUCGGUAUCAACGCUCAGCUUGGAGAAGCUCUUGGAGUUGCAGCCCCCCUUGGGGGUGGGGAUGGGGUGGUGCUUCUAGGUUGCUGCCUCGGCGGGGACCUGGGCCGGGUGGGUCAGGCUGUGUGCUCUCUGUGUCGAACUCUUCUCACCAUUCAUGUCUACCCCACCCCCUUCCUCAGGACAGGUUCAGGAGGUGAUGCGAACCCCAUGGAUGCAGCAGUCAACACUGGGUACUUGAGGAGAGGUUGUCUGUGAUGAGUUCGCUUUAUUAAUGACGAAUAUAACACAGAUGGCCUGUUUUCAAUACCACCUGUCACUCCUGUUACUCGGCAGUGUAUAUAUACCAGGUGCCACAACACUGAUCGGUAGGUGAAUGCAUGGACUCUGUAUGACACUUGUCACCCUCUUCACCGAGCCUCAGCUUCACAUCCAUCCUGAGGAGCUUCCUGGGAUCACACCAACAAAGCACUGGCCUGGUGUGCGAUGGAUGACCGGAAUCUCACCAUGCCUCUUGCCACAGGAGUGGGUGUUUGUCCCUAUCUACGGCAUUAUACUGAGGGCUGCAUGCCUGCAUGCCCUGCACCUGGAGUGCCUCCUAAUACCACGAGCGCUUAGAGAAAUGGCAUAAUACUUGGGAAAGAACCAGGCCAGCUGGCUGCACAAAUAGCCCAUGAUGGGUUUCCAUUCCUCGUGAUGGUGCGAUCCAUGCUCACCUCUCUUUAGUGUAGGAUCUCACCUUUGUGAGUCUGGGUGUCAGAGGAGGGACACUCUUUCCUGGCCCUCUAGACACAGCUUGAUGGUCAGGCAUGUAUCUGCUACUCCUGAGUCAGAGCAUCACAUCGCCCCAGUGGAGGCUGGGAAGCCCAUCUUAGAGGAAGAGGCAUCCUAUGGAGCAUUCACGCUGCUUGGUGAUACCUGAAACAGGUGUCUCUGAGAUGUCUGCUCUUCCUUGAGUUACAUCCUACCCUGGACCACUUCUGCUGUGAGGUGCUGACGCCAGGUGCAGAAGCCUUUGUGUUGAUUGACCAUAGUCUGUGUGUGAGGCUGUGGCCUGGACCUUCCCAGUUCCACUCUGUUGGAAACAGCACAGAAUGUCUGUCCCCUUGAGUGUAGGAGGCAGUGAUACCCCAGGUGUCUCCCUAGCUGAAGCAGACAUAGACAGGGUUUGGCCUGUCCUUAGCUCAUGCUUUCUCCGUCUUCGCACUCUGGCUCUGUCAGGCUCCUGAGAGCUUGCCAUAGAGGCUUGACCUGGAGACUGGGGCACCUCAGAAAGAGGCUGGGCGUGCCUUUGAGAUACAGGAUAUAGGCGUUUGGCGUUUAGUGAAGACAUCCGGGGAGGCAAAGUUCUCUCUGAGUAGGCUUUCUUCGCCUCACCAGUACAAGCCUCACCCUCACUUGGUGGCUCCGCCCUGUGGGCUUCUCUCCUCUUCUGGGCCUCCUCGGCAACAAAAUCCUCUGUGCCCACCGAGGGCAGUAUCUCCCUCCCCUCUACAUCGCCGCUUCCCCACAGUCCUGCCCAAAGGCUGGCUGUCCACUCUCACUUGGACCUGACAUGGGGUCUCUCUUCAUUCUCUUCCUCUUGCUCAGAAGGCCCGCCCAUGCCCCUCCCUCUGGGAGCCGGUCGUGGUUGCCCUUCCCUACGUAGUCUUCCUCAGCCUGCGCGCUUGCACGCCCCUUUCACGGGAAUCCAGGGUUCCAAGGGGGUUGGCAUGCCCCUUGCUCAGCAGUCCCAUGGAAAGCAGGCUGGCAACAGCUAUCCAGCUCCUUCCUUCCCCAUGCACUGUCUGUCAAUCUGCUUGUUAGCUGCUCCUCCCAAGCUACCUGCUGUCCCAAACUGCCCAGCACUGUCUUCAGGUCUCCAGGCUCUCCAGUGCCCCCUCCCCAAGCUGUAAGGCACGGUCAGACCUUUGCAUUUUUCUUUUUCCUUCCCUCCCUUCCUCCCUCCUCUCCCUCCCUCCCCUCUCACUUCCUUGACUUAUCCUCUGUUGUAUUCUAAGCCUUAGGAUUCAGGCCAGGUCUAUAGUGACAGAAUAAUGAAGCGUGCUGAUUGACUAAUAGAGUCCCCAUAGGCAGAAACCAUAUUAGGUUAAUCCCCAGGAAAGUGGUGAGCAUGAAGCCGGAAUUCCAUAAGAUGUGGUGGCUGAUUCCAUAAAUAUGGAAGCUGGGUUUUGCAUAGCCUUUGCAUUUGUUAGAAGCUGUUUGGUUUUCCAGUCCCCCAACCUCCCACCCUACCCCCCAGAAUAUCACUCUUCUGAGACUUGCUGCAAUAGGGGGCAGACAGGCCAGCGAAGUCUAUAGGCUUUUCUUGUAGCUGGGCCCCCCAUGCUAGGCUGCAGAUCCAGCUAGGCACAACCCCCACACCCCACCCCAUGAAUGCCUCUGUGGCGGUGAGCCAGAGGCCCUGUGGAGUCCCUUGUGCAGCAGGCCUGAUCUGCUGUCAGGGCUAAUAUUUUAUGCAUGGACCUGAGUAAAUGGGAACAUUUGGAAAUGGAAAUUGCUGUUAAUGACACAUCUUUGGAAUAUAUUAAAUGUGUGCGAGGCCGCUGCUGGUCUCCCAGUUUAAUUGCUCCAAUGUAAGCGCAGCCAUGCCACAGCAUCAGCAGGAAGGCCACCCCACGCCCCUUCCCCACUGAUGGGGAAAGCCCCAGGUACCUCACCCACCAUGCAAGUACCAUGCAGGAAACGGAAUGUCAGCUGGGAUGCCAAGCAAUCCGCAGCAUGCCCCUUGCAGAUUCGCUGCAGACCCAAAGAUGAUGGCCCCUCCCACUUGAUGCAGACUUUCUUUUAUUAAAAGUAAAAUUACUAGGUUUAUCUAUUGUUUGAGGAGAAGAAAAGACAAAUAAAGGGCUUUUCUCAUCCAGUGAGUAGAGUGACAAUGUCUGUCCCCCAAGCAGGCAGGCAGGCAGGAAGUCCCUGGGGGCACUUCAGGGUUCAGAGAAUUCACUAUCUCCAGGAUAGUGAGUAAACUUGGUGUACCAAGGUCACAGGGCACAGGCUGUUUCUCCACGCCUGGCAGAUCUUAGAGUCAGUUUGCACAUCCCAUAGUUUCUUCUGGAUGUGAUGGGGCGGAGCCGGUGGUGCAGCCCUUUACUGUCUUUAAGGAGAGAGUGAGUGUGUGUGUGUGGGGGGGUGGUUAGUACUCUGUCCUCAGUAUCUGUGACCCAUGAGGAAAGCAGGUUAUAUUUUACAAAGAGGAAUUUGCUGGGACCCAGAGAGGCUGAGUGACUUUCCAAGGUCACCCAUCUGGAGACAGGGCUCCGGGCUAUGUGUUUUUAACAUUUCUGCUUAUGCUGGCCCAUAUCCUUCUAAAAAUGACCCCUUGUGCCAUAGAUGACAGACAACUCGUUGAGUUGGUCUCCACAACUUUCUGUACAAUGAGGCAAGCUCACUUUUCCCAAGACAUUGCUUGCCAGGACUGUCAGGCUUUUCUGUGUCCCCUUUUGAUUCACCUGGUUCCUUUCUUAUUCAUGUCUGGCUUGAGAUGGGGCUGCCUAUUCCAUCAGAAAACCCAGGGCACUGCCGAUGCUAAAUAUCAGGACUGAAUUGGCUGUUGUUUGCUUCUGCUUACUGGAGGCUUGCGUUAGCUGUCUCUGUCAUUGUGUGUGUGUGCGUGUGUGUACAUGCAUGCGUUGAGCCUGCUGUAUCUUGUCAGAGGCUGGAGAGCUGCAUGGACCAGCUACAUACCUCUUGGCUUGUGUUCUGGGUAGACUAGAACAGUUCCAAAGGUGUCAUUCCUUAUAUAAGGUCCUCAGGGACUGACUGAGUCCCCUGAGUCUGGCCCUUUCCUGGCUAAUAUCUCUUAUCACAUCUUUGAGCAGCUAAGGACUCAGGACUGUAGGGUCCUGUCCCUACGGGGUGGGGACUUGGAGUUAGAUCCACAUCUAGUGAGUCAGUAGUGUUUCUUUGCCAAGAUUUGAAGGGCUUUGGGAACCUCUGUCCCCUUAGGGCUGGCUCAUAGUAGAUGCUCAGAAAAUACCUGUCUUCCUGGGAUCACAUGGGCUUAGAUGCUGACACCAGGAGGUGAUGGAUCGACAGCUGUGAGGAAGCUCACAGGGGGCACUCAGACAGUGUUUGUGAAAUGAAUAAAUAAAAAUACACCUUUUUGAAGAAAUUAAGAAACGAGGAAUGGCAAAAACAGUCAAGGAAGACAACAUAAAUCUCCAGCAGUGUUACCAAUGCUACAGCCGGGGUUGCUGAAAAGACCCUGCGGAGGUGGUGGGACCAUUUGUCAUGGGCGAGGACAGGCUGGUGGGCUGGGACAUGGGGCCUGAUGGAAGCUCGUCCAUCAUUUUCUCAUUAUCCCAGCGACGCGGAGGGCAGCUAGCGGAUCACAGAACAACAGCCUCCGAAUGAAGGUGGCAGGGUUGGGAGUGCGAGGGACCCCGAGGGAGGGCAGGCUGCCCCAGGCCCUGCCCCCUCCAGGAAGCCUUCUUGCUCCAGCCCAACUCACGAUCUCACUUGCCCUCGGAUGUUCAUCAUGUGAUCCUUUAUCGACGCUGCUAUGGAGGGGCCUUUGGGAACUUGUUUGCAUGUGCGCCUGUACUUGCCCAGCUGGCAUACAGAGAAGGCUCUGUGAAUGCUCGUUGGCCUUGUCUUUCCAUUGUAGGCAGGUGACGCUGCAUUGGUCCCCAGGAGUAGAUGAUGUUCAGGAGCUCCACCUACGUUCCAUCCGCACUACUAGUCCUAGGUUGGGACAGUCCCAUUGGGUAUGCCCAUGGGACAGCUAUGGCGAUGAACAAGCCCUGAGGCCUGACCUGAAGCCAGCUGUGGGCCCGGAGCUGCUCAGGCCUUCUCCUCCCUGCAUCUCCUGCUUAAGACAAUGAAGAUGUCUGACUGGAGAAGAUGCCCCUCUGAGAAGACCAGGACCAUCCAGGACCCAGGGGGACCCAGUACCCCCGCCAAACCCUGUGCCAUCCUCCUCUGAGCCCCCCCAUGUCCCCUGCUUCUUACUCUUGAGCCCCGCCCCCAGCCUUGCAUUUCAGAUCUCAGCAGGACCUGAGCAGCCCUUGCUUAGGAAGCCCAGGUGGGGGGAGUGAGUAGGCAGACACAGGGGGCUGGGCAGAAGAAAAGAUCUCUGCUCUUGGCUUUUGAAGCCUCAAUGUGUGGAGCCCUUUGAAUAAUAAACAUGUAUCAUAAAAUGUAAA